AGGAUUAACGCUGGCGGCGUGCCUAACACAUGCAAGUCGAACGAGGUAGCAAUACCUAGUGGCAGACGGGUGAGUAACACGUGGUCAACCUACCGCUUUGUGGGGGAUAACUAGCCGAAAGGUUAGCUAAUACCGCAUACGUCGCAGGCCGGCAUCGGUCGACGAUAAAAGGAGCAAUCCGCAAGGUGACGGGACCGCGUCCCAUUAGCUAGUUGGUGAGGUAAUGGCCCACCAAGGCUCCGAUGGGUAGCUGGUUUGAGAGAGCGACCAGCCACACUGGGACUGAGAUACGGCCCAGACUCCUACGGGAGGCAGCAGUGAGGAAUUUUCCGCAAUGGGCGAAAGCCUGACGGAGCGACGCCGCGUGUGGGAAGAAGGCCUUCGGUCGUAACCACUGUCGAAGGGGAAGAUAUUGACGGUACCCUUGGAGGAAGCCCGGCUAACUACGCGCCAGCAGCCGC
rnacentral:rRNA from 1 species